UUUGUACUCCAUCCGUUCCGAAUUACUUGUCGCAGAAAUGGAUGUAUCUAGAACUAAAAAAUGUCUAGAUACAUCCAUUUCUACGACAAGUAAUUCCGAACGGAGGGAGUAUGUU
rfam:Triticum aestivum genome assembly, contig: Triticum_aestivum_CS42_TGACv1_scaffold_322394_4BL